GCCGGGGUGGUGAAACUGGCAUCCACAGGGGACUUAAAAUCCCCCGGGGGAGACCCCAUGCGGGUUCGAAUCCCGCCCCCGGCA
rnacentral:tRNA from 1 species